GUUGAAGUCAAGAAAACAGGCGGGGAAUUCAGCAGCUGACAGGCCGCUGACGAAUUUAAUGUUUUUUUUUUAAGAGUAAUAUGUAUAUUGUAAAUUAAUCUUUCUGCGAUUGCUUGAGGUUUUUGGUUACGAUGGAGCAGCCUCAGAAUGACGGACUGAGAAACGGAGCAGACCCAGGAGCUGUGCAAGUGAAGUUUCCCUGCUGUGCAAAGAUCUCCAGCCUGGAGGCACUGAAGGAGCGGAUCCAGUCCACCCUGAACCAGGGCAGCAGCGACUUCACCUGCCCACAGUGCGCCUUCCGUUGGUCGUGGCCUCAAGUGCGACAACUGGCUCUGCUGAGUGAGGAGGAGAGGGUGGGACUGGAGAGGAAAAUUCUAGAGCUCAGUGUGGACAACACUGACCAAUACAGGAAGGUCAGCUAAUGCACACUGAUGUCCGGUGUGUCUGUAUUAACCCCUCUCUCUCUCAGUGCAGUGUUAAUGUACUGUAGUGACCAGUGUGUCUGUAUUAACCCCUCUCUCUCAGUGCAGUGUUAAUGGACUG
rnacentral:lncRNA from 1 species